rnacentral:rRNA from 1 species
AGUGAACGCUGGCGGUAGGCCUAACACAUGCAAGUCGAACGGCAGCACAGUAAGAGCUUGCUCUUACGGGUGGCGAGUGGCGGACGGGUGAGGAAUACAUCGGAAUCUACUUUUUCGUGGGGGAUAACGUAGGGAAACUUACGCUAAUACCGCAUACGACCUACGGGUGAAAGCAGGGGAUCUUCGGACCUUGCGCGAUUGAAUGAGCCGAUGUCGGAUUAGCUAGUUGGCGGGGUAAAGGCCCGCCAAGGCGACGAUCCGUAGCUGGUCUGAGAGGAUGAUCAGCCACACUGGAACUGAGACACGGUCCAGACUCCUACGGGAGGCAGCAGUGGGGAAUAUUGGACAAUGGGCGCAAGCCUGACCCAGCCAUACCGCGUGGGUGAAGAAGGCCUUCGGGUUGUAAAGCCCUUUUGUUGGGAAAGAAAAGCAGCAGGUUAAUACCCCGCUGUUCUGACGGUACCCAAAGAAUAAGCACCGGCUAACUUCGUG